rnacentral:rRNA from 1 species
ACUCCUACGGGAGGCAGCAGUGGGGAAUAUUGCACAAUGGGCGCAAGCCUGAUGCAGCAACGCCGUGUGAGUGAAGAAGGUUUUCGGAUCGUAAACUCUGUCCUAAGGGAAGAAAAAAUGACGGUACCUUAGGAGGAAGCCCCGGCUAACUACGUGCCAGCAGCCGCGGUAAUACGUAGGGGGCAAGCGUUAUCCGGAAUCACUGGGCGUAAAGGGUGCGUAGGCGGCUUAGCAAGCCAGGGUGAAAGGCAUUGGCUCAACCAAUGUAAGCCUUUGGAACUGUUAAGCUUGAGUGCAGGAGAGGUAAGUGGAAUUCCUAGUGUAGAGGUGAAAUUCGUAGAUAUUAGGAGGAACACCAGUGGCGAAGGCGACUUACUGGACUGUAACUGACGCUGAUGCACG